UACGAAGGGUGCAAGCGUUACUCGGAAUUACUGGGCGUAAAGCGUGCGUAGGCGGUUUGUUAAGUCUGUCGUGAAAGCCCCGGGCUCAACCUGGGAAUGGCGAUGGAUACUGGCGAGCUAGAGUACGGUAGAGGAGAGUGGAAUUCCCGGUGUAGCAGUGAAAUGCGUAGAGAUCGGGAGGAACAUCAGUUGCGAAGGCGGCUCUCUGGACCAGUACUGACGCUGAGACGCGAAAGCGUGGGGAGCGAACAGG
rnacentral:rRNA from 1 species